rnacentral:rRNA from 1 species
UGCAAGUCGAACGCUGAAGCCGACAGCUUGCUGUUGGUGGAUGAGUGGCGAACGGGUGAGUAACACGUGAGUAACCUGCCCCUGAUUUCGGGAUAAGCCUGGGAAACUGGGUCUAAUACCGGAUAUGACCAAUCCUUGCAUGAGGGUUGGUGGAAAGUUUUUCGAUCGGGGAUGGGCUCGCGGCCUAUCAGCUUGUUGGUGGGGUAAUGGCCUACCAAGGCGACGACGGGUAGCCGGCCUGAGAGGGCGACCGGCCACACUGGGACUGAGACACGGCCCAGACUCCUACGGGAGGCAGCAGUGGGGAAUAUUGCACAAUGGGGGAAACCCUGAUGCAGCGACGCAGCGUGCGGGAUGACGGCCUUCGGGUUGUAAACCGCUUUCAGCAGGGAAGAAGCGAAAGUGACGGUACCUGCAGAAGAAGUACCGGCUAACUACGUGCCAGCAGCCGCGGUAAUACGUAGGGUACGAGCGUUGUCCGGAAUUAUUGGGCGUAAAGAGCUCGUAGGUGGUUGGUCACGUCUGCUGUGGAAACGCAACGCUUAACGUUGCGCGUGCAGUGGGUACGGGCUGACUAGAGUGCAGUAGGGGAGUCUGGAAUUCCUGGUGUAGCGGUGAAAUGCGCAGAUAUCAGGAGGAACACCGGUGGCGAAGGCGGGACUCUGGGCUGUAACUGACACUGAGGAGCG